CCGUUUCUCUUUCGGUAGCCAGUACCCAUCCCACCCUUUUUUCUCCACCCAGACCGACCCACCUUGCUUUCUUCCCCACAAGCGCUGCCAAUGGCGCCGUCCCCCGGACUCCCCCACAAGUAUUGCUUCCACUGGUCACUGACACUCUUGUCGGCGGAUGCGGGGAGAUGGCUGGAGCGGGGAUGCGAAGAUGUACCCCUCGGGUAGUCGGUGGGGUGGCCAAGAAAGGUGCCGGCGGCGGAGCGGCUUGGCCGCCCACUCCACGGAACGAGCGAGGGCGGCCGCCCACCUGCACGGCGCGGGCCACGCUGCCCUGUUAAUCCAUGUUCCCUGAUUAUCAAGUAUGUCCGCUGCAGGUUCUCCAUUAAAAGACUUUCCCUAGCCGCAAUGCGCAGACCGAGUGGCUCGUCGCCUUGUGGACGGACUCAGAUUCGAGGAAGCUACCCCAGUGCGUCCCUGUUCCGGCUUCUUCCCGGAGGCCCGGCUGAUAUUCUGUAGAAGUUCCUGCCGGUUUCGUCCCAGAUCUCCCGGGCAGAUGCGGUAGCACGGAACCUGUUCGUGCUUGGAAACAAGGAAGAGGACGGCUGGAUCUCUGGGAUGAUGGCGUGAAUGGAGCAGAGGAUAUCGCGAUGCUGACGAGCCCUACUGCGAGCGCCCUCUGGUCCACCUUCAAUCCAAGAAAGGCGAGAUUUAUAGAAUGAAGAUGAUGGUUUGGCUGGACUGACAUGUGACGGCAGCGAGCGAAGUGCUGCAGACAGACGGUGACUUGGUCAGACCGAUGACAGCGAGGGGAGCAGAUUGGGAAGGCACCUUAUAACACGUCGUGGGGCUCCGUUCAUUGCUUUGAUCAGGCACCUUUGUCAAAUAAGGCAUGCGCUGUGUAUCUUGCACAGGACUCUUUGCCAAGUCAAAAGAAGCCAAGAAGGUGGGUCUGCAAUGGAUACCUUUCUGUUGUAAAGGUCAUGCUUAAAUGUGUUGCCUGGCACCAGUAAGAGAAAACCGCGGUUCUCUGGUACACUUGAGGUGCUGCGCGGUGGUAUCCCAAAGCGCCGGUGGCGCGCAGGAGCCGGAGAAGAAGACCAGAACAGCUACCAUAUAAGAAUUAGAGACAAAUUGACUAGUUUUAUUUCUGCAUGCAGUUCUAAUUUAUAAAAUUUCUGGAAACUUAUGGAACAAAAUCAUUCCCGUGCAUGCACCAUUUCUCUUCAGAUUGCUGCAAAAAUUCUUGUAAGGCAUUCAUAGAUGAAUUUCUGCUGAAAUUGUUGUACAACAUGCAAAGAGUCAUAUCUGUGUAUUAAUGUUUGUAACUUGAUUCAGUGAA